rnacentral:rRNA from 1 species
AACGAACGCUGGCGGCAUGCCUAACACAUGCAAGUCGAACGAAGCCUGCGGGCUUAGUGGCGCACGGGUGCGUAACGCGUGGGAAUCUGCCCUUUGGUUCGGAAUAACAGUUGGAAACGACUGCUAACACCGGAUGAUGACGAAAGUCCAAAGAAGUAUGGCCAGAGGAUGAGCCCGGGUAGGAUUAGCUAGUUGGGGUGGGAAAGGGGCACCAAGGCGAGGAUUCUUAGCUGGUUUGAGAGAAGGAUGAGCCACACUGGGACUGAGACACGGCCCAGACGCCUACGGGAGGAAGCAGUGGGGAAUAUUGGACAAUGGGCGAAAGAAUGAUCAAGCAAUGCCGCGUGAGUGAUGAAGGCGCGAGGGUUGUAAAGCUCUUUUACCCGGGAUGAUAAUGACAGUACCGGGAGAAUAAGCAGCGGCUAACUCCGUGCCAGCAGCCGCCGCGG